rnacentral:rRNA from 1 species
GCUUAACACAUGCAAGUCGAGCGGCAGCGGGAAGAAGCUUGCUUCUUUGCCGGCGAGCGGCGGACGGGUGAGUAAUGUCUGGGGAUCUGCCCGAUGGAGGGGGAUAACUACUGGAAACGGUAGCUAAUACCGCAUAACGUCGCAAGACCAAAGUGGGGGACCUUCGGGCCUCACACCAUCGGAUGAACCCAGAUGGGAUUAGCUAGUAGGUGGGGUAAUGGCUCACCUAGGCGACGAUCCCUAGCUGGUCUGAGAGGAUGACCAGCCACACUGGAACUGAGACACGGUCCAGACUCCUACGGGAGGCAGCAGUGGGGAAUAUUGCACAAUGGGGGAAACCCUGAUGCAGCCAUGCCGCGUGUGUGAAGAAGGCCUUCGGGUUGUAAAGCACUUUCAGCGGGGAGGAAGGCGAUGGCGUUAAUAGCGCUAUCGAUUGACGUUACCCGCAGAAGAAGCACCGGCUAACUCCGUGCCAGCAGCCGCGGUAAUACGGAGGGUGCGAGCGUUAAUCGGAAUUACUGGGCGUAAAGCGUACGCAGGCGGUCUGUUAAGUCAGAUGUGAAAUCCCCGGGCUCAACCUGGGAACUGCAUUUGAAACUGGCAGGCUAGAGUCUCGUAGAGGGGGGUAGAAUUCCAGGUGUAGCGGUGAAAUGCGUAGAGAUCUGGAGGAAUACCGGUGGCGAAGGCGGCCCCCUGGACGAAGACUGACGCUCAGGUACGAAAGCGUGGGGAGCAAACAGGAUUAGAUACCCUGGUAGUCCACGCUGUAAACGAUGUCGAUUUGAAGGUUGUGGCCUUGAGCCGUGGCUUUCGGAGCUAACGCGUUAAAUCGACCGCCUGGGGAGUACGGCCGCAAGGUUAAAACUCAAAUGAAUUGACGGGGGCCCGCACAAGCGGUGGAGCAUGUGGUUUAAUUCGAUGCAACGCGAAGAACCUUACCUACUCUUGACAUCCAGAGAACUUGGCAGAGAUGCUUUGGUGCCUUCGGGAGCUCUGAGACAGGUGCUGCAUGGCUGUCGUCAGCUCGUGUUGUGAAAUGUUGGGUUAAGUCCCGCAACGAGCGCAACCCUUAUCCUUUGUUGCCAGCGAUUCGGUCGGGAACUCAAAGGAGACUGCCGGUGAUAAACCGGAGGAAGGUGGGGAUGACGUCAAGUCAUCAUGGCCCUUACGAGUAGGGCUACACACGUGCUACAAUGG